UCCCUGGAGGUCCAAUGGUUAAGACUCAGAGCUUUCACUGCUAUGGCCCAGGUUCAGUCCCUGGUCAGGGAA
rnacentral:tRNA from 1 species